UACGGGGGGGGCAAGCGUUGUUCGGAAUUACUGGGCGUAAAGGGCUCGUAGGCGGCCAACUAAGUCAGACGUGAAAUCCCUCGGCUUAACCGGGGAACUGCGUCUGAUACUGGAUGGCUUGAGGUUGGGAGAGGGAUGCGGAAUUCCAGGUGUAGCGGUGAAAUGCGUAGAUAUCUGGAGGAACACCGGUGGCGAAGGCGGCAUCCUGGACCAAUUCGUGACGCUGAGGAGCGAAAGCCAGGGGAGCAAACGGGG
rnacentral:rRNA from 1 species